UACGUAGGGUGCGAGCGUUAAUCGGAAUUACUGGGCGUAAAGCGUGCGCAGGCGGCUCGUUAAGACAGGUGUGAAAGCCCCGAGCUUAACUUGGGAAUUGCGCUUGUGACUGGCGUGCUGGAGUGUGGCAGAGGGAGGUGGAAUUCCACGUGUAGCAGUGAAAUGCGUAGAGAUGUGGAGGAACACCGAUGGCGAAGGCAGCCUCCUGGGCCAGAACUGACGCUCAUGCACGAAAGCGUGGGGAGCAAACAGG
rnacentral:rRNA from 1 species